CCCUUAGAUGUUCUGGGCCGCACGCGCGCUACACUGAUGCAUUCAACGAGCCUAGCCUUGACCGAGAGGUCCGGGUAAUCUUUGAAACUGCAUCGUGAUGGGGCUAGAUUAUUGCAAUUAUUAAUCUUCAACGAGGAAUGCCUAGUAAGCGUGAUUCAUCAAAUCGCGUUGAUUACGUCCCUGCCCUUUGUACACACCGCCCGUCGCUCCUACCGAUUGAGUGUGUUGGUGAGGAGCUUGGAUUGGCCUCGGAAGGUGGUUCGCCACCGUCCGUAGCUGAGAAGUUCUCCAAACCGCCCCACUUAGAGGAAGGAGAAGUCGUAACA
rnacentral:rRNA from 1 species